rnacentral:rRNA from 1 species
UACGGGAGGCAGCAGUGGGGAAUAUUGGACAAUGGGGGAAACCCUGAUCCAGCCAUGCCGCGUGUGUGAAGAAGCCUUUUGGUUGUAAAGCACUUUAAGCAGUGAAGAAGACUCUUCGGUUAAUACCCGGAGACGAUGACAUUAGCUGCAGAAUAAGCACCGGCUAACUCUGUGCCAGCAGCCGCGGUAAUACAGAGGGUGCAAGCGUUAAUCGGAAUUACUGGGCGUAAAGCGAGCGUAGGUGGCUUGAUAAGUCAGAUGUGAAAUCCCCGGGCUUAACCUGGGAACUGCAUCUGAAACUGUUAGGCUAGAGUAGGUGAGAGGGAAGUAGAAUUUCAGGUGUAGCGGUGAAAUGCGUAGAGAUCUGAAGGAAUACCGAUGGCGAAGGCAGCUUCCUGGCAUCAUACUGACACUGAGGCUCGAAAGCGUGGGUAGCAAACAGGAUUAGAUACCCUGGUAGUCCACGCCGUAAACGAUGUCUACUAGUCGUUGGGUCCCUUGAGGACUUAGUGACGCAGCUAACGCAAUAAGUAGACCGCCUGGGGAGUACGGCCGCAAGGUUAAAACUCAAAUGAAUUGACGGGGGCCCGCACAAGCGGUGGAGCAUGUGGUUUAAUUCGAUGCAACGCGAAGAACCUUACCUGGUCUUGACAUAUCUAGAAUCCUGCAGAGAUGCGGGAGUGCCUUCGGGAAUUAGAAUACAGGUGCUGSAUGGCU